rnacentral:rRNA from 1 species
UACGUAGGUGGCAAGCGUUGUCCGGAUUUACUGGGCGUAAAGAGCGCGCAGGCGGUCGUUCAAGUCGCGUGUGAAAGCCCCCGGCUCAACUGGGGAGGGUCACGCGAUACUGAUCGACUCGAAGGCAGGAGAGGGUAGUGGAAUUCCCGGUGUAGUGGUGAAAUGCGUAGAUAUCGGGAGGAACACCAGUGGCGAAGGCGGCUCUCUGGACCAGUACUGACGCUGAGACGCGAAAGCGUGGGUAGCAAACAGG